rnacentral:rRNA from 1 species
UUAUGGCCAUAUCACGUUGAAGCACCACUUCCCGUACGAUAACCGAAGUUAAGCAACGUUUAGCCUGGUCAUUAACUAAAUGGGUGACCGCCUGGGAAUACCAGGUGCUGUAA